CAUCAUCCCAUCGGAUAGAGAUGUUAUUGAUCUGUCUCCGACUGAGAGAGAAAUAUCCGAGGUGUGUUUCCAGGCAACACCAUCCCUCCGUACCUUUACACAAAUAAUACAACACUCACUUUCCAGAUAAAACACAUUCUCAAAGCCCAUUUCAGACAUAUUUCACAAUUAUUAUAUCACAUAUAACUGAAAAUUUCAAAGGCAAGUCUGCAUUAUUGUGAGUCACAGUAACAAUACUAUCUAGUAUUGAUCAAACAACCGUUUCUAUGCUACUGUUGACUGCUGAAGCUUAUUUUGUCUGAGUUAUGUGUUGGUGUGAUAGUGGGGUUGUGCAGGUGUGUCACGCUUGGGUGACACCACCUGUCUAUGUGUUACAUGCAUGGGUGAAUGUGCAUAUGCUUAUAGCUGUUGUUGUAACAGUUGGUUCCUACUGUUUUAAGUAUAUGUCCGUGAUAUUCAUGUGUUUUAUCACUGAUUGUGAAAGAGAAUUUGAGAAGAGCUUUUGUUAAUUAGCUAUUGUUUGCUGAUUAUGCUUUUGAUUUGUUAUUUUUGAGAUAAUCCUGUGAUAAUUCUAUAUAUAUCGACGCUCCCUGUAUGUGGAAUAUCAAUAUAUUGCUUUUCGCUGUGUGCGUGACAAAGUCGGUACCAGGGAUAAUAAACGGGGAGACAAAAGGAUCAUUAUCGACACGGUCGUCUUUGAGGUAACUCGUUUUAUUAACAUCCGAAUCAAACGU